GGAGUUAGCCGGUGCUUCUUCUGUGAGUGAUGUCCUUCCUGCCGGCUAUUAACCCGCAGGCCUUCUUCCUCACUGAAAGUGCUUUACAACCCGAAGGCCUUCUUCACACACGCGGCAUGGCUGGAUCAGGGUUGCCCCCAUUGUCCAAUAUUCCCCACUGCUGCCUCCCGUAGGAGUCUGGGCCGUGUCUCAGUCCCAGUGUGGCUGAUCAUCCUCUCAUACCAGCUACGGAUCGUCGCCUUGGUGAGCCGUUACCUCACCAACCUAGCUAAUCCGACAUAGGCUCAUCCGAUAGCGCGAGGCCCGAAGGUCCCCCGCUUUCCCCCGUAGGGCGUAUGCGGUAUUAGCCCUGGGUUUCCCCAGGUUAUCCCCCACUACCGGGCAGAUUCCUAUGCAUUACUCACCCGUCCGCCGCUCGCCACCAGGGAGCAAGCUCCCCGUGCUGCCGCUCGACUUGCAUGUGUUAGGCCUGCCGCCAGCGUUCAAUCUGAGCCAGAAUCAAACUCUGA
rnacentral:rRNA from 1 species